UUGCAGACAAUUAAGCCGACCAGCUUUUGCUACUAUCAGAAGGUGGUGUGCAAUGUCUGCAGACACUAACUUCCUUGGUUGUGUAUGUGCUUUGCGUACCAUGCAAAGUGCGCUAAGGGACCUUGGAUACACGU